GGGAAUCAGAGACCUUUAUCAUCGGUUGGGAAUGGGAAGUCAGUUUCUUGCACAUUUUUGGCUCCCAAUGUCUUCCAUUGCUUGUUAACACCAACCACGCCACUUUGUUGUCGUCGGCGAGCGUGCACGCUGCAGAAGGAAUACGGGACAGCUGCCAUUCCUGGAGGCUGGAGGGUUCAUUGGACAGGACACCUGCACAGCCGUAUUGCUGGCGGCUACGGUAAAGGUGUCCACCCUACUUUGUGGUCCAAGAAAUAUAGACUUCAACAGUGUCAAGAUACUGAACACCACUCCAAGUACAAGCAGGACUUCAGCCUCUCAGGCUUUGACAAGCUCCAGCUCAACUGGGGAUGCUACACUGAGCCUUAUUGCUGAAAGUCUUCCGAGUAGUUUUGAAACACAACACAAGAUGGAGGAGGAUGUGAGUGUGAUCGAUCUUCUCAGGGUCUUGCUGCAGGAGGUGCGAGAUGUGAAGCAGGAGGUGAGAGAGUUGAAGAGCAAGCUCGAGAACUCAUCUGAAUGUACAGAGUCGAUUAUUGAAAACCCUUUUGAUGAACUGAAGUCUUUUGGCUUUAAAGCUACAUCACUGGAAGAAAGAACGAGAACAUGAUUUGCUUUUUCAUGUCCCGUGCCACUUGACUGAACAUCUGAUGUUGAUAACAGCAGAUUAUUGGCUACUCGAACGGGAGAAGCAGUUCUCGGAAGGAUGUGAAAAUUCUAAGAAGAACAGGAACGACCUCCUUAAGAUCCUCAUUGAGUUAGCUCCCAAGCCUAAGAAGAAUGCUAAAGUAGCUACUCUGGAUAUAGUUAGGUCGAUAAUGCAAAGAUUAGCUGAUGAUUCAGUAUGGCAAUAUGUUAGCGCUUUUGGGAAGUCAGGCACAAAAAAGCUGUCAAUGUGCAAAAUGAUGCCUUCAAUUAUGGAUACAGUACUCUUAACAACAAUAAAAACCCUUUCAGUUGAUACUAAAGAGGCAUCAACUGCUCUUUCAACAUAUUUAAAAAAUACUGCUACAAGGGCAGCAGCAAAGAAGCACAAAUUUGAACAUGGAAGAGCCAUACUUCAGAUUGGCAACAGUGUACAUGAGGAAACAUUCCAGUCUGCAAACUCUGUCCAAAGUUCAUCACAACAUGCAGCUGAUGAGGUUAGAGUCUGAUGCAGCACAUGAUUCAGAUUUGGCCUGAAACCAAAUUUGUGGCUAAAAUAAUUUUAUGCAUGUGUUCUUUAUUGAGUGUUAUAUAAGCACUGGUCUCCACUGUCAGUGUCAACUAAGUACAACACAUGCAAAAUAACACAAAACUUUCUUUUUGCUAGCAUCAUAAAUAAUUACAAAUGCCUGAUUCAUAUAAGGUAUAUAGAUAAAAGAGGUACCUUUGCAUAAUGGAUUUCCUUAUGGUAGAAUGUGAUGUAUAUGUGGAGAUAAUAAAACAAGAAGGAAACCAUGUUGUUUUCUUCAAAUGGCAGUAAUUCCUAUGAAGGCAUUUUUUAGAACUCGUGAUUCAUAUUAUUUGAGGUCCAUCCAAUGUUCAUUUAAGGUUCAUUAAAAGGCUUUUUAUGGUUCAUUUUUAGGUGUUUUUAAAGUUCAUAUAAAGAUUUUUGAGGUCCAUUCAAAGUUCAUUUAAGGUUCAUUAAAAGGCUUUUUAUGGUUCAUUUAUAGGCGUUUUAAAGUUCAUUUAAAGUUUUUUUGAGGUUUGUUAAAGGUUCAUUUAAGGUUCAUUCAAAGGCUUUUUAUGGUUCAUUUAUAGGUGUUUUAAAGUUCAUAUAAAGUUUUUUUGAGGUCUGUUAAAAGUUCAUUUAAGGUUCAUGAAAAGUCUUUUUACAGCUCAUUUUUAGGUGCUUUUAAAGUUCACAUGAGGUUUGCGCAAACCGAAAAGUGUACACCAAAACGGGUACUUUUCAGGCUUGUUUGAGGUUCAUCUGAAGCUCAUGUUGUGAAGUUUGCGCACCUUUUACAAACGUUUGCCAAACAUCCUAUGAACUUUAAAUUUCCGG